rnacentral:rRNA from 1 species
AUUGAACGCUGGCGGCAUGCUUUACACAUGCAAGUCGAACGGUAACAGGCCGCAAGGUGCUGACGAGUGGCGAACGGGCGAGUAAUGCAUCGGAACGUGCCCAGUCGUGGGGGAUAACGCAGCGAAAGCUGCGCUAAUACCGCAUACGAUCUAUGGAUGAAAGCGGGGGACCGUAAGGCCUCGCGCGAUUGGGGCGGCCGAUGUCAGAUUAGGUAGUUGGUGGGGUAAAGGCUCGCCAAGCCAACGAUCUGUAGCUGGUCUGAGAGGACGACCAGCCACACUGGGACUGAGACACUGCCCAGACUCCUACGGGAGGCAGCAGUGGGGCAUUUUGGACAAUGGGCGCAAGCCUUCUCCAGCAAUGCCGCGUGCAGGAAGAAGGCCUUCGGGUUGUAAACUGCUUUUGUACGGAACGAAACGGUCCUGGUUAAUACCUGGGGCUAAUGACGGUACCGUAAGAAUAAGCACCGGCUAACUACGUGCCAGCAGCCGCCGUAAGAC